rnacentral:rRNA from 1 species
UACGUAGGGUGCAAGCGUUGUUCGGAAUUAUUGGGCGUAAAGCGUGUGUAGGCGGACCUAUAAGUCAGGUGUGAAAUCCCACGGCUUAACUGUGGCAUUGCGCUUGAAACUAUGGGUCUAGAGGAUGGAAGAGGUAAGUGGAAUUCCUAGUGUAGAGGUGAAAUUCGUAGAUAUUAGGAGGAACACUCGUGGCGAAGGCGGCUUACUGGUCCAUUCCUGACGCUGAGACACGAAAGCAUGGGGAG